ensembl:lncRNA
CUUUCUUGUAUUCAGGCCGUCUGUGCUUCCUGCCACCAGAACCAAAGAGUGAGCACAAGGACACAGACACUCACGGAAGACCAUGUGAAGACACAGGAAGAAAGUGGCCUCCUACUAGCCAAGGAGAGAGGCUGCAUAAGAAACCAAACCUGCCAACACCUUGAUUUUGGACUUCCAGCCUCCAGAACUCUAUUACAAAAUAUUGGCUCUGUUCCUCGUUUUGUGUAGUACAUCCAUGAGCCUGUCUUACCCUCAAUAGUCUGUGCCUCGAACCUCCUCAUCCUGGAUUGCCCCUGCCCCCUCCACUGGCAUGAAGAUGUUGAAAAGUCUGAAGAAACAGGAUUUGCUUUUUCCUUGACAUCCAGAUACUAAAACCACAGCCAGAAUGGUGUUCACAACAAAGUACCAAGCUGGUGGCUUAGAUUUUUCUGAGGCAGGGAUCUAAUGCUUGAUGAUCUGACAAUCUGAGGUGGAGCUGAUGUAAUAAUAAUAAAAACAGAAAAGUGAAAGUGAA